AAUUCCCUUCACAAAUGGGUGCCUGCAGCAUGUGUCUAAUAGCUUCUUUCCUCAUCAGUUGAGCAUUGGUCCCAGAAGGUAGAUCAGUGGCCACGUGGGGACAUGGUGAGAAGGUGGCCAUCUGGAAGCCAUGAAGAAAGACCCCCCAGAAACAACCCUAAUGACACCUUAAUCUGGAUUCCUAGCCUCUGGAAUUCUUCCACUGCACUGAGGUGGACCAUGUGACUCAUUCUGACCAA